GAAAUUAAGAAGAAGAAGAAGAAAACAAGAAAAAGAACACAUCUUUGUUCUUUUGUCUCUCUUCAAUGGAAGCUCCCCCUGCCCCAGAAGGAGAUCAACAGAGUUGGUGGUGGCGCCGCCUCAGUCCACCCUGCUGCGGCGGCGGCGCUGUGAAAGCCUUUCUCAAGUGCUUGGGUUUUGAUGACGGUGGGAGCGGCAGUGGAGGUGGGGAAGAUAGGGGUGGUGGGGCGGCAGAUUCUCCGGGGGCGGAGACGGUGACGGUUUUGGGUGGGAGGAGGCCGGGGAGGCCUCCGGUGAGCUCUGGCGGUGGUGGGCAGAUUAAUUAGGUAAUGAUUAGGUUGUAGUUAAUUAGUUAGUUAAUUAUGAAUCUAUGAUGUUAUAUUAACUAAGUAAUUAAUUUAUUAAUUAAUUUCAACAUGUACCUUAUUUAUUUAUUUUGUUUUUUUUAUUGCUAUUGUUAAUUGUUGGGCAGAUUAAUGAGGUGAUGAACUGAUGAUUAGGUUGUACUUAAUUAGUUAGUUAAUUAUGAUGUUAUAUUGACUAAGUAAUUAAUUAAUUCCACUUGUACUUAUUUAUUUGUUCUGUUUUUAUUGUUAUUGUUAAUUUUGUUUGGUUGAAUGGUUGUUAAAUUGUUUUUGUUUGUUAUAUAUUUCUCU
rnacentral:lncRNA from 1 species